rnacentral:lncRNA from 1 species
UUGAGAAUCAAGGAGUGGAAUGUUGAGUCAUAUAUACGAAGUUAAGCAGGAGGUGGCUUAACAUUAGACUAGCAAACUUCCACUAAGCAUUUUUGAUCUGUUUAUGGGAGAGAGAGAGCCUAAGGAGAAUAUACCCAAAAACACUCGGUAUUCUAUUCAUUCUUCUCCCUUUCCGUUCCAUUCAAUUUCUUCUUUCUCACUGUUCUACAUAGAAGCUACCAAAGCUCUCGAGUUCGGCUAAGGGGUGAAGUAGUAACUGAGUUUGGGUGAUGAUUUCGAAUAACAACAAUGGGGAGGUUGCAGGAAUUGGGUAUCAAGAAAACUGAACUUCAUCAAAUUUAAAGGUUAUAAAUAUAAGGUAAGCUAUUCAUUCAUAACUAUUUUGUUAGAAAGUUGGGUAACAAGUAAGAUGUUAUUUAUAGCUAUGAUUGAACUAUAAAUUAAAAGGAGAUUAAGUGUGUUAUGAAGAGCAAUAAGGGAAGAAAAUAUGGGUUUAGACAAACCUAAACCUCUGUGAAUUCUGUCCCGAAAAUGGUUGCACACAAGAUGUUUGUUUAAAGGUCUCUUAAGUACUGUUAAGCUUAAAUCAUGAAAUUAAGUGAGGGUUGAGGUUAAGAACUCUUUAUACAUGUUAUACUAGGCGAAUUAAAUGAUUUUUGUAGGCCUAAAGUAAUUGGAAAACUGUUUUGGAAUGAAUAACAUUUUCAUGCUCAAUCUAGAAAUCGUCUUAACAGAGCAGUUUGGUGGCUCUGUUAGACUGAUCUAAAAUGUCUGAAACAGAGGAGUUGUAUUUUUUUUAAAAAAAUACUAUGAUAUACCCUUUAUAACAUGUGAAAGUUUGGUUUCUAUUGGACAACUAGUGGACUGUUUUGGAUCAAUUUGUGUUGUGCUCUGAAACUGAAAAAUUAAGUUCCGGGAUGAUGUGUGGUACUCUUAUGAGUUAUGAACACAACCCAAUUAGAACGAGGGAAAAAACCGUUGUAAUGAAAUCAUGACGGAUUUUCUAGUAAAACAUGUAAAACAAACUAAUUAAAACUGUUUUGGGGGGCUGUUCUUGAGCCAAAAUUUAUGAGGGUACAGAACUGAAAAUUUUAGUUUUGUAAUGGUGGGUUGUGCUCCUAUGAGUUAUGGAAAUAAUCCAAUUGAAAUGAAUCAAAAAGGAGCUAAAAAGAAAUUAUAGUGAAGAAUUUUAGUAAAACAUAUUAGAAACCGAAAAAUUGUAGACUGCUGACCCUAAGGACAAAUUCGGGGCAAGCUAGACUUUCCAGAAAAUUCUGGGCUUUUGGGGAUGUGUAGUGCACUGAAUAAGCUUUCCAUAGACUCCGUAACGGACUGAUUCCGACUUCGGAGCAAGGAGUUAUGACAGUUCAAAGUAGUCGCGUCGAAUCUGCCAAAAUUCUGGAAAACAGAUUCGAAGCAGCCCUUGCACGAAUUUUCUAGAAUUCUGUGUUUAGAAUUUAAAAAUGGUCAAAGAAUAAAAGUUGUAGUCCCGAAAGUUAGCUUCGCGUGGGCUCAAAAAUCGCUCAAAAAUGUUUUGAAACGAAGAAGUUAUGACUGUUUUAGCGCAACAGGGUCAAGCUGGAAAACAAUUAAAAACUGUUAUGACAGAGCAUUUUUGGAUCUUUGUUUGGACUGUUUAAAGUUUCUGAAAUGGGUGGCUUAUAUUUUCUAAAUAUAGCCUACUAGGGUGUUUUCAAUAUAUCAAAAAUUAGUUGCAAUCCGAACUACGAGCGAAAAGUUAAAAAUGCGCAAACUAAGCAUUUCGUUAUGGAGGGCAGCAACCCAGCUGGGCACGCGAGGCCCAGCAAAGCGCACGCCGUGCGGCGUUGUGUUGGGUAGUUCACCCAACUGAUUUUUGGCUCGUGGUUUUGACAGUCUGGGUUGCUUGUAAUGUUUGGAUUAUAAUUUUUAUAAUUAGAUGGAUAUACUACCUAAAACAUAACCAAAAUUCAAAGCAUAUGACCGAGUGGUUUAAAAGAUAUAACAUCACAAAACGAGUGUCAAAGCAAGGGGACUGACCAGGCAACGCCAAGCCCGGCUAAGCCACGCAGGGCCACGCGAGGCCCAGCUGCUAGCAGCGUUAUGCUGUUUGGCCAGUUGAUUCCGCGAUGCGAUUCUUGGUUGGCUUUAAUGAUUUGGCAUGUAGCAAGACACCGGAAUGGAAGUAAAAAUGUAAUAUAACAACUUUAUGUCAUGAAAACUCAUCUUGAGCGUAAGGAUAACAAUAAACAUGUAAUGUAAACAUAAAUUGUGUUUACGCAAACGUAAGCCGAGAAAUAAUAUGCAAAACGGGUAUAAAACUAAAUGAAAUGCACAAAACCGUUUAAAAUUAUAUUGGACAUAAACAUGUUAAAACAAAGGUGUCUGGAGUUCGAAACGGAGAUUUUGAACACAAAAUUACAUAAUGCUAUAUGUAUGAAUUUAAAGUACAAGCGAAGUGAAAAUGUAAGUCAUUCGCAGGAAUAAAUGCGACUACAAAUAAAGCGAAGCAUUCGUGUACGU